AUCAUUAACUGAAUCCAUAGGUUAAUGAGGCGAACCGGGGGAACUGAAACAUCUAAGUACCCCGAGGAAAAGAAAUCAACCGAGAUUCCCCCAGUAGCGGCGAGCGGACGGGGAGCAGCCCAGAGCCUGAAUCAGUGUGUGUGUUAGUGGAAGCGUCUGGAAAGGCGUGCGAUACAGGGUGACAGCCCCGUACACAAAAAUGCACAUAUUGUGAGCUUGAUGAGUAGGGCGGGACACGUGGUAUCCUGUCUGAAUAUGGGGGGACCAUCCUCCAAGGCUAAAUACUCCUGACUGACCGAUAGUGAACCAGUACCGUGAGGGAAAGGCGAAAAGAACCCCGGCGAGGGGAGUGAAAAAGAACCUGAAACCGUGUACGUACAAGCAGUGGGAGCACGCUUAGGCGUGUGACUGCGUACCUUUUGUAUAAUGGGUCAGCGACUUAUAUUCUGUAGCAAGGUUAACCGAAUAGGGGAGCCGAAGGGAAACCGAGUCUUAACUGGGCGUUAAGUUGCAGGGUAUAGACCCGAAACCCGGUGAUCUAGCCAUGGGCAGGUUGAAGGUUGGGUAACACUAACUGGAGGACCGAACCGACUAAUGUUGAAAAAUUAGCGGAUGACUUGUGGCUGGGGGUGAAAGGCCAAUCAAACCGGGAGAUAGCUGGUUCUCCCCGAAAGCUAUUUAGGUAGCGCCUCGUGAAUUCAUCUCCGGGGGUAGAGCACUGUUUCGGCAAGGGGGUCAUCCCGACUUACCAACCCGAUGCAAACUGCGAAUACCGGAGAAUGUUAUCACGGGAGACACACGGCGGGUGCUAACGUCCGUCGUGAAGAGGGAAACAACCCAGACCGCCAGCUAAGGUCCCAAAGUCAUGGUUAAGUGGGAAACGAUGUGGGAAGGCCCAGACAGCCAGGAUGUUGGCUUAGAAGCAGCCAUCAUUUAAAGAAAGCGUAAUAGCUCACUGGUCGAGUCGGCCUGCGCGGAAGAUGUAACGGGGCUAAACCAUGCACCGAAGCUGCGGCAGCGACGCUUAUGCGUUGUUGGGUAGGGGAGCGUUCUGUAAGCCUGCGAAGGUGUGCUGUGAGGCAUG
rnacentral:rRNA from 1 species